rnacentral:rRNA from 1 species
AGUACAGACGAGUUUGAUCCUGGCUCAGAACGAACGCUGGCGGCAGGCCCAACACAUGCAAGUCGAGCGCGCCCUUCGGGGUGAGCGGCGGACGGGUGAGUAACGCGUGGGAACGUGCCCUUUGCUACGGAAUAGUCUCGGGAAACUGGGGGUAAUACCGUAUGUGCCCUUCGGGGGAAAGAUUUAUCGGCAAAGGAUCGGCCCGCGUUGGAUUAGGUAGUUGGUGGGGUAAUGGCCCACCAAGCCGACGAUCCAUAGCUGGUUUGAGAGGAUGAUCAGCCACACUGGGACUGAGACACGGCCCAGACUCCUACGGGAGGCAGCAGUGGGGAAUCUUAGACAAUGGGCGCAAGCCUGAUCUAGCCAUGCCGCGUGAGCGAUGAAGGCCUUAGGGUUGUAAAGCUCUUUCGUGGGGGAAGAUAAUGACUGUACCCCAAGAAGAAGCCCCGGCUAACUCCGUG